AUUGAACGCUGGCGGCAGGCCUAACACAUGCAAGUCGAGCGGGGUUUUCGGACCUAGCGGCGGACGGGUGAGUAAUGCGUAGGAAGCUACCCGAAAGAGGGGGAUACCAGCUGGAAACGACUGUUAAUACCGCAUAAUGUCUACGGACCAAAGUGUGGGACCUUCGGGCCACAUGCUAUCGGAUGCGCCUACGUGGGAUUAGCUAGUUGGUGAGGUAAUGGCUCACCAAGGCGACGAUCCCUAGCUGGUUUGAGAGGAUGAUCAGCCACACUGGAACUGAGACACGGUCCAGACUCCUACGGGAGGCAGCAGUGGGGAAUAUUGGACAAUGGGCGCAAGCCUGAUCCAGCCAUGCCGCGUGUGUGAAGAAGGCCUUCGGGUUGUAAAGCACUUUCAGUAGGGAGGAAGCGUUGUGUGUUAAUAGUACACAGCGUUGACGUUACCUACAGAAGAAGCACCGGCUAACUCUGUGCCAGCCGCCGCCGUAAGAC
rnacentral:rRNA from 1 species